rnacentral:rRNA from 1 species
UGGGGAAUAUUGGACAAUGGGCGGAAGCCUGAUCCAGCAAUACCGCGUGUGUGAAGAAGGCCUGAGGGUUGUAAAGCACUUUCAAUAGGAAGGAAUACCUUGGGGCUAAUACCUCCAAGACUGACAUUACCUAUACAAGAAGCACCGGCUAACUCCGUGCCAGCAGCCGCGGUAAUACGGAGGGUGCAAGCGUUAAUCGGAAUUACUGGGCGUAAAGCGUGCGCAGGCGGUCUUUUAAGUCAGAUGUGAAAGCCCCGGGCUUAACCUGGGAAUUGCAUUUGAUACUGAAAGACUUGAGUUUGAGAGAGGGGAGUGGAAUUUCAGGUGUAGCGGUGAAAUGCGUAGAGAUCUGAAGGAACACCAGUGGCGAAGGCGACUCCCUGGCUUAAAACUGACGCUC